ACAGUGUCUGGUGGGUAGUUUGACUGGGGCGGUCUCCUCCUAAAGAGUAACGGAGGAGCACGAAGGUUGGCUAAUCCUGGUCGGACAUCAGGAGGUUAGUGCAAUGGCAUAAGCCAGCUUGACUGCGAGCGUGACGGCGCGAGCAGGUGCGAAAGCAGGUCAUAGUGAUCCGGUGGUUCUGAAUGGAAGGGCCAUCGCUCAACGGAUAAAAGGUACUCCGGGGAUAACAGGCUGAUACCGCCCAAGAGUUCAUAUCGACGGCGGUGUUUGGCACCUCGAUGUCGGCUCAUCACAUCCUGGGGCUGAAGUAGGUCCCAAGGGUAUGGCUGUUCGCCAUUUAAAGUGGUACGCGAGCUGGGUUUAGAACGUCGUGAGACAGUUCGGUCCCUAUCUGCCGUGGGCGCUGGAGAACUGAGGGGGGCUGCUCCUAGUACGAGAGGACCGGAGUGGACGCAUCACUGGUGUUCGGGUUGUCAUGCCAAUGGCACUGCCCGGUAGCUAAAUGCGGAAGAGAUAAGUGCUGAAAGCAUCUAAGCACGAAACUUGCCCCGAGAUGAGUUCUCCCUGAGACUUUAGGUCUCCUGAAGGAACGUU
rnacentral:rRNA from 1 species